GGUCUGAGAGGACGACCAGCCACACUGGAACUGAGACACGGUCCAGACUCCUACGGGAGGCAGCAGUGGGGAAUUUUGGACAAUGGGCGCAGGCCUGAUCCAGCAAUGCCGCGUGAGUGAAGAAGGCCUUCGGGUUGUAAAGCUCUUUUGUCAGGGAAGAAACGGUUCGGGCUAAUAUCCUGGGCUAAUGACGGUACCUGAAGAAUAAGCACCGGCUAACUACGUGCCAGCAGCCGCGGUAAUACGUAGGGUGCAAGCGUUAAUCGGAAUUACUGGGCGUAAAGCGUGCGCAGGCGGUUGUGCAAGACAGAUGUGAAAUCCCCGGGCUCAACCUGGGAAUUGCAUUUGUGACUGCACGGCUAGAGUGUGUCAGAGGGGGGUAGAAUUCCACGUGUAGCAGUGAAAUGCGUAGAGAUGUGGAGGAAUACCGAUGGCGAAGGCAGCCCCCUGGGAUAACACUGACGCUCAUGCACGAAAGCGUGGGGAGCAAACAGGAUUAGAUACCCGGGUAGUCCACGCCCUAAACGAUGUCUACUAGUUGUCGGGUCUUAAUUGACUUGGUAACGCAGCUAACGCGUGAAGUAGACCGCCUGGGGAGUACGGUCGCAAGAUUAAAACUCAAAGGAAUUGACGGGGACCCGCACAAGCGGUGGAUGAUGUGGAUUAAUUCGAUGCAACGCGAAAAACCUUACCUACCCUUGACAUGUCUGGAAUCCUUGAGAGAUCAGGGAGUGCUCGAAAGAGAAUCAGAACACAGGUGCUGCAUGGCUGUCGUCAGCUCGUGUCGUGAGAUGUUGGGUUAAGUCCCGCAACGAGCGCAACCCUUGUCAUUAGUUGCUACGAAAGGGCACUCUAAUGAGACUGCCGGUGACAAACCGGAGGAAGGUGGGGAUGACGUCAAGUCCUCAUGGCCCUUAUGGGUAGGGCUUCACACGUCAUACAAUGGUACAUACAGAGGGCCGCCAACCCGCGAGGGGGAGCUAAUCCCAGAAAGUGUAUCGUAGUCCGGAUUGUAGUCUGCAACUCGACUACAUGAAGUUGGAAUCGCUAGUAAUCGCGGAUCAGCAUGUCGCGGUGAAUACGUUCCCGGGUCUUGUACACACCGCCCGUCACACCAUGGGAGCGGGUUUCACCAGAAGUGGGUAGCCUAACCGCAAGGAGGGCGCUCACCACGGUGGGAUUCGUGACUGGGGUGAAGUCGUAACAAGGUA
rnacentral:rRNA from 1 species